AUGCAUAUUCAUCUCUUGCUGAUUCAACCAUACAAUUCGCAGUAUGGCCUACCACUGAAAAUAGUGUCUUAUAAGGAACUCUAUGAUUGGACAAUGGAUGAUAUUGUGAAAGCAAUUGGCCUAAAAACAAUUGUACUUUCUGUGGUGUUUUUUGACGCACUAGACCGGGGUGCUGUUCUCUUGAAGGUUGAUACGAUUGUAACUGGGCAUAAUGCAGAUGACAUUGCAGAGACUGUCUUGCUGAAUAUUUUACGUGGUGAUAUUGCAAGGCUAAGUAGAUGCACCUUCAUAACUACUGGUGAAGAUGGACCAAUCCCAAGGUGCAACCCUUUCAAAUACACCUACGAAAAAGAGAUUUCACUCGAAUCAGUACCUUAUGAAUGGUGCAGGCCUAGAGCUAUACUGGACAUCAUAACCUCUGGCGAAAAUUUCUGGAUAUCCACAACGACAAGAAUGCCAGAGCAAGGAACAUGUGAGCGUUGCGGCUACAUUUCUAGUCAGAAAUUAUGCAAAGCGUGCGUCUUGCUGGACGGACUGAACCGAGGCUUGCCGAAACUAGGCAUAGGGAGAACCGCUAAAGUUGGUGCUGGAACAUAUCGAGUCUGCAAGGAAAACACGGCAACUUUGGCUGUAAAAUGGCCACUUGGGUGCAAACGGCAAAUGCAAAUAUAUAUGUAUGCAUCAUCCCGCGUGCGCUGUGCGGGCUAUGCAUCUCAACUUUUGUAG
rnacentral:rRNA from 1 species